rnacentral:lncRNA from 1 species
GGAUGAUAAAAUGGAUGGAUUUGAUUGUUAAUAUAUAGAUCAAAACAAUUCAUUAGUCCACUAAUAAUCUAUUAAUUUUUUUUUAUAAAUAUCAAAUUCAAUUCAUUCAUUAAGAAUAAAAUUCAUCAAAUCGGUCUAUUAUCAUGUUUUUAGUGGAUGAAUAUCUAUCCAUCCAUUUUUUUUUAUUUUGAAAUUUUUUUAUUAAAUAAUAUAUUUUUUU